ACGCGCAAUAGUGGGAUUAGUUCACGAGACAAUCCGAUCGAGGAUUGCCCUCUUUCGUAUUCACGUUAUGUCUUUCGGCUAAAGUCUUUAAGCACGAUGAUUUUAAUAUAUAAGUAAAAUUUAUGAAAUAUUAAUAUUGAAAUAAUUAACGGUAUAUCUUGUGAAUGUUUUAAUAAAAAUGGAUACCGUCGUAUUCGGAUUCAUACUUUUAACAGUUUUCAUGAGUGUCGGAGGUGCAGCAGGAACGUGUGAACACGUGAAAAAUGAAGAUAUGUUGGAAUAUUCUUGCGUCGGAGGACAUCCUGUGGAUUUGUAUUCGUUACCAACGGAAAUAGAAAAGAUACGUAUCAACAAAAUGAAAAUUCCGAUUAUAACCGCGGAUAUGUUUUCACGAUUUGGCUCUAAUCUUUGGGUCUUAGCUUGUUCGCACUGUGACAUAUUGGAUAUCGAACCAACCGCUUUUCAAUCCUUAAUAAAUCUUCAACAAUUGAGUUUGGACGAUAAUCAUUUAACCACCGUCAAAGGAUCUUGGUUCAAAGGAUUGAAUUAUCUAACGUAUUUGGAUUUAAAUUACAAUCAAAUAACGACGAUCGAAGACGAGGUUUAUGAGAAUUUGCCGAAUCUCGUGGACUUUCGAUUAUCCGGCAAUCGGUUCGAGUGUUUAAAUAUAAAAGCGAUGGAAAAUUUGAAGGAAUUAAAGAGAAUAUUUCUCAGUGAAAAUAAAGAAUUUAAAUGUCCAAACGCUAUCAGUAAAUUUCUCGAGGAUCGUGACGUUAAUUUUAGUAAAGAUCCAGAAUGGAAGGAUUUCGAUGAAAUCUCGAUCGAUGAUAAUAAUAAUAAUAGUAAUAACAAUAAUAAUAAUAAUAAUGAUAAUAAUAAUAAUAAUAAUAUGACCGAAGUAAUAGAUCAAACAGAAACUUCUAUCGUUUCGUCAUCAACGCCAGAUUAUUGGAAGAGAAUUUAUUUUCCUUCGAUUGCCGUGACUACCGAAGAUACGAGAUCAUUUGAGCGUACAUCAAUGCCCGAAAGCAUACGUUAUCCAUUAUAUGCGCCGAUUAGCGUAACCACGUCCGAUUAUAAUGAUAGAAUAUCUCAAUUCUCAUCGGUCGAUUCUUCUUCAUUCGUCACAACGACUGAUAGACCGGAAGCAUCACGAUAUCAAACAUCAAUCGCUGAUCCUAAUCAUUCUUACAUGACAACGACAACGCAACAACAAUCUUUUAGAUAUCCAUCAAUCCAACCUUGGCCGAAAACUAUCAAAGAAGAUGAAAUAACCAUGAACAGUGAAUAUCAUGAACAAUUUGACACUUCCGACGAAGUAAUUGGGACGUCCUCUUUGGCUUCAAGCCCAACUGAUCGAGAAACCUUGUCUUCUAUGUUAGAUCCAAAAAAUAUUUUAUCAACGCAACCACCUGAAGAUUAUUAUACACAGAAUGAGAUACUCAUAGAACCAAAUUAUCCGCUUCCAAAUCCAACCUUUGAUUCGCUUCCUAAUGCAAUCUUUGAUCCGCUUCCUAAUCCAACCCUUGAACCGCAAUUCGAUGAGAAUGAUAUCGAAACUAUUAAAACUGACGAUGUACGUUAUACUACGAGACCUUACGUACCACCGCCGAUACCACCUCAGAUCGUUCAACCUGCUGCACCUGGCGAUUUUCUUCAAGUUCCUUAUUACGAACCCACUGUUACCAUAAGACGGCCAUUAUCACCGGAGGUGAUACAAAAUUACGAACAACAACAACAACAACAAGAACAAUCAACAAUUACAGUGGUAGAAACCACUACGGAUAAACCAUUUCCCGAGUGUCCAAAAAGUUCAUCGCUGUCGAUCGAAUUGACAACUAACACCCUUUUCUUUCUUACUUUUCUAUUAAAUAUCAUCGUGCAGAGAAUUUAGCUGAAGGACAUUUAUCGUGAGUGAUAAUAAUCCGCUUUACCAACUUACAGAUCGCAUUGAUCUUAACUCAUACGUAUCGAACUUCGUACGAGAGAGAAAGAGAGAGAGAAAACAAAACGCCCGCAUUAAGCAUUUAUGAAAUCACGAUCAUUAUCACUUCGUUGCGUUUUUCUUCUUUGUAUUUUGAUA